CGUGCCCGCCUGACCCAUCUGCCAGGCCGCUGUGGGCGCUUGGCUAACCCAAAGUGACACGUGCCCGGCGGACAUUCAGGCUCUACAGA
ensembl:misc_RNA